CAUCCAGCUGUUUUGGUAGAAGAGAAUCACUAGAGCAUGUCCCCAACCAUUGGCAUAAACAAAAUGAUGAUCGUGAAGCUCCAUAAGUCACAGUCAAGAAUGCAUAACCAGUAUAGACCAAAGAUUUUUAUCCAUAUCCAGCAGAUACGAGUUGAAAUACAUGCAAGAUUGCGCUUCUUCAGGAAUACUACCCAUCUCAACAUCAAGAAUUGGAGAAACUAGUUGGUGCCCAAGGUUGCAUUAGUGAUUUAUUCGUCAACGACAUGAUUACUUCUUGAUAAGCUUGCUUAUUCAAAGGUCAAUCAAGCACAUCAAGAUCAAUUGACGAGAGUGACUUGUUACUUCAUUUUCUGGACUGGUCACGAGGUGCUGCAUGAUUAGGCUUCAUUGCGAACUCAUAAGGAUUCAAAAGAUGGAACGGUAAAUUGGUGGUUGGUGGACAGCUAGAGAAUUUGAGAUGUAAUUAUUGCAAUAGCAGUGGGUUGCUCUGACCAAUAGUGAAAAAGGGCAUAGUUUUUUUUAAUAAAAAAAUAAAUAUCCUGUUCUUCUAGGUAAGUUGCUUUUUUCCCCAUUUUAUGGGGCUUCUAGGAGCAGUUUAGGAUUCAUCAAGUGAUAAGAAGAGAAACUUUUUAGAUGUGUUUGCAAUUCUUCUUCUUCUUCUUUUAAUUGACUUAGCCUGUAAAUUUAGAAAAGUGAAUAAAUAUAGUUAUGUCUGAGAGCCUGCCUUUGCUUAAGUGGCAAGUGUGUUAUUCAUUGCCAGUUCUAGGAGACCUUUAUUUAGUUGAAAUAACCAGCCUUGCGUCCUUAGAUUUUUUUAUUUAACAGUGAUGAUUGAUGAAGCUUUAAUGUCACUAGGUUGUGAAGCUUGGCUGGUUUUCAUGCAGCAAAACGAGGAUUAUUCUAAUAAGCUGAAUUAUUGUCAUUAGAGGACAUGCGGUUCUUUGAGGUGCUGAUCUUCAGUGUUGAUUUGGCUGAAAGAAUGGAGCAUGUUGGUGGCGGAGAAAAGGCUACUGAUGUAACAGACACAAGCAUUCGAGGAGCUGUUCCUUGCGAGUUUUAAUGAAAACCUGUACAGACACAAAUAAUACCACCUUAUUGCGAAUUCCUUAUGCUACGUAUACAUAUACAGCGCAACCUUUCACUGACUUGGAUAUAUAAAAGAUUUAGAACCUUGAAAAUCCCCUUUAAGUUUUUGAUUACUCAGUAUGUUUGCCAAUAUGACUUAUGACUUGUGUUGAAUAUGUUGUAGCUAUGGAUCAAACUUUAUGGUGCUCUUAUUGAUGUUUUUCAGUGGAUGCAAAUGUUUCAUAUCUUGAUGGUUUCUUGUAAGUAAUUGCUUUUCAGUUAUAUGUUCUGGUAUGUUUCUUUACAUAAGGUGAGGGAUGGUUGAAAUUGUAGUCAUCUGGUUUCAGUCAUUGAUGACCAGCUUCUGUACUAAAUUUUAAAUACAGAGUCCAUUUUGAAAUUUUGUUGUUUCUUUCUUGGCAGUCAAUGUCACAAAGCUUACAUAAUUUAGUCAAGCAUUGAUCAAAUUUUUGGGAUUAUUUGUGUACUCUAUCUGGCUAAUGCCAGAACCAAGCUCAGAUAAAAGAGGUUGAUGUUGUUGUUAUGUUGAUAACCAAUUUCAAUAUUUGUGAAUGCCAGGAUGUUUACUACAAGAUAAUAUCAGAAGUCAUCUUAAAUAAGAAUGCUUGGCAUAUGAGGAUCCAUAAAGCCGAUUAAAAAUAGUUCGGACAAGGCUGGAUGCUUAUGAUUACUUAUCCCUGGCUAAUGUCAUUUUUUUGGGUUCAUCAAGCAUUUACUAGUAAUCAUCCAUUAUCUCUACACCAACUCUGUGUCUGUCUUGGUUACAUCGAGUUUUUGUUGAACUUUGAUGGUCAUCAACUCCAAUUUUUUUUUCACAGAAACGAUGCAUCAGUGUUUUAUCAUGAUUGCAUAUGUUUUAACAGCUAACCUUUUAGGAUAUGGUGAGGUAGAAGUUUGAUCCCUCCCAACUCCUUGCACUUCUCCAUUGGACUAAAGGCUUGCUUUCGAUGAA